rnacentral:rRNA from 1 species
ACACGUAGGGGACGAGCGUUGUCCGGAAUUACUGGGCGUAAAGGGCGCGCAGGCUGUGCGGCGAGUCGGCUGUAGAAAGGCGGGGCUCAACCCCGUUCCGCGGUCGAGACCGUCGUGCUGGAGUACUGCAGAGGCAAGCGGAAUUCCCGGUGUAGCGGUGAAAUGCGUAGAUAUCGGGAGGAACAUCGGUGGCGAAGGCGGCUUGCUGGGCAGUAACUGACGCUGAGGCGCGAGAGCCGGGGGAGCGAACGGGAUUAGAUACCCCGGUAGUCCCGGCCGUAAACGAUGGAUGCCAGGUGUGUGUGCAGCGAUGCAUGCGUGCCGCAGUCAACGCGUUAAGCAUCCCGCCUGGGGAGUACGAUCGCAAGAUUGAA